UUAAAUAUUAAAGGUCUUUUGUUUUUUUUAGGUAGUGUUGGAACAAAAUGACCUUUUCACCAAGAACCUGCAACUCCCUAAGGACUGUUAUUUGUCCAAAACCAAGUGUGCCAAGUCCUUUGGUGGUACUAGGUUGCUUACCUGAAGUACUCUCAGCAGGUAAGAAUAUGCAUUUCCUAUGACAAUUUCCAUUGAAAUGGUCCCUUUUUAGUUAACUUGCACCACUCGGUGCUCUAUUCCAUCUGUAACGUAUGAUGAUUUUUGCAGUCUCGUUCGUCUGAAGUCCUGC